rnacentral:rRNA from 1 species
GACGAACGCUGGCGGCGUGCCUAAUACAUGCAAGUAGAACGCACAGUAUAUACCGUAGCUUGCUACACCAUAGACUGUGAGUUGCGAACGGGUGAGUAACGCGUAGGUAACCUGCCUGGUAGCGGGGGAUAACUAUUGGAAACGAUAGCUAAUACCGCAUAAUAUUGAUUAUUGCAUGAUAAUUGAUUGAAAGAUGCAACUGCAUCACUACCAGAUGGACCUGCGUUGUAUUAGCUAGUAGGUGAGGUAACGGCUCACCUAGGCGACGAUACAUAGCCGACCUGAGAGGGUGAUCGGCCACACUGGGACUGAGACACGGCCCAGACUCCUACGGGAGGCAGCAGUAGGGAAUCUUCGGCAAUGGACGAAAGUCUGACCGAGCAACGCCGCGUGAGUGAAGAAGGUUUUCGGAUCGUAAAGCUCUGUUGUAAGAGAAGAACGGGUGUGAGAGUGGAAAGUUCACACUGUGACG